rnacentral:rRNA from 1 species
CAGUCGCCGCGGUAAUACGUAGGUGGCGAGCGUUGUCCGGAAUCAUUGGGCGUAAAGGGAGCGCAGGCGGGCAUGUAAGUCUUUCUUAAAAGUUCGGGGCUCAACCCCGUGAUGGGAAAGAAACUACAUGUCUUGAGUACAGGAGGGGUAAGCGGAAUUCCCAGUGUAGCGGUGAAAUGCGUAGAUAUUGGGAGGAACACCGGCGGCGAAUGCGGCUUACUGGACGACAACUGACGUUGAGGCUCGAAGGCGUGGGUAGCAAACAGGAUUAGAUACCCCCGUAGUCCUGUCUCUUAUACAC